AAAAAAGAUAUAGAUAUUCGUAUAUAAUGGUAAUAAGGACCAUAAGUUUCUACGAGAACGCCGUAAAUGGGCUCACUACGAAUAGGAUACA
rnacentral:ncRNA from 1 species